GUUGGUGUUGAUUGCGGUGAGGGUCCACCCGUUCCCAUCCCGAACACGGCAGUUAAGCUCACCUGCGCCGAAAAUACUUGGCUGGAGACGGCCCGGAAAGAUAGGUAACGCCAACA
rfam:Pseudoflavonifractor capillosus ATCC 29799 B_capillosus-2.0.1_Cont353, whole genome shotgun sequence.